CCUACGGGAGGCAGCAGUAGGGAAUCUUCGGCAAUGGGGGCAACCCUGACCGAGCAACGCCGCGUGAGUGAAGAAGGUUUUCGGAUCGUAAAGCUCUGUUGUAAGUCAAGAACGGGUGUGAGAGUGGAAAGUUCACACUGUGACGGUAGCUUACCAGAAAGGGACGGCUAACUACGUGCCAGCAGCCGCGGUAAUACGUAGGUCCCGAGCGUUGUCCGGAUUUAUUGGGCGUAAAGCGAGCGCAGGCGGUUUGAUAAGUCUGAAGUUAAAGGCUGUGGCUCAACCAUAGUUCGCUUUGGAAACUGUCAAACUUGAGUGCAGAAGGGGAGAGUGGAAUUCCAUGUGUAGCGGUGAAAUGCGUAGAUAUAUGGAGGAACACCGGUGGCGAAAGCGGCUCUCUGGUCUGUAACUGACGCUGAGGCUCGAAAGCGUGGGGAGCGAACAGGAUUAGAUACCCUGGUAGUCCACGCCGUAAACGAUGAGUGCUAGGUGUUGGAUCCUUUCCGGGAUUCAGUGCCGCNGCACGACAUAAGUACACUCCGCCGUCGGGUAGGUACGACCGACCGAACGGUUAGUAACGUACGAAAGGAAAGUUAGUACGGCGUGAGACGUGCCGACGGACGACGACGAGGGAGGAGG
rnacentral:rRNA from 1 species